AACGAACGCUGGCGGCAUGCCUAACACAUGCAAGUCGAACGAGACCUUCGGGUCUAGUGGCGCACGGGUGCGUAACGCGUGGGAAUCUGCCCUUGGGUUCGGAAUAACAGUUGGAAACGACUGCUAAUACCGGAUGAUGACGUAAGUCCAAAGAUUUAUCGCCCAGGGAUGAGCCCGCGUAGGAUUAGCUAGUUGGGGGGGUAAAGGCCUACCAAGGCGACGAUCCUUAGCUGGUAUGAGAGGAUGAUCAGCCACACUGGGACUGAGACACGGCCCAGACUCCUACGGGAGGCAGCAGUGGGGAAUAUUGGACAAUGGGCGAAAGCAUGAUCCAGCAAUGCCGCGUGAGUGAUGAAGGCCUUAGGGUUGUAAAGCUCUUUUACCCGGGAUGAUAAUGACAGUACCGGGAGAAUAAGCCCCGGCUAACUCCGUG
rnacentral:rRNA from 1 species